CGAGUCUGCAUGAAUGAAUACAGAAGCAAGGAACUAAUAACUCAUUCCGGUGGUACCUUGGGGAGGUCUGGUUCAAUAGAUUCCGGGUCCCACAGAACCAUGAUAUCUCAUUAGCAACUCUGAUUGCUUAAUGACAUCAACCAGAACUGUUGAGUAACAAACACCACCUUCUAAUGACAGCCAUCACAACUUUAUGAUACAAGAUCAUGGCACCGUUAAACAACAUUCAAGUUGUUAAUAAGAAUUACAAAGUUGCGAAUAAGACACCACUUGAGCUGAGACAUUGGAGAAGUCUCAGCCAUAUCAAUCCAUUUUCAUGAUUUGGCAAUUCUUGCCGAGACUUGACAUGUAUUCCACUGUAUAAGUUUGAUUGGCUCAAAGGACAGAAACCAUAUGAAAAGAUACAAUUAAAACUGCUUCAAACAUGCAAGAUGAAAUCUUUUUUUUCUUUUUUCUUUUUUUUUUUCUGUUGGGAUUUGCGGGGGGGGGGGGCAAAUGUCAUGCACUGGCCAAACAAGGUGAGUGGUAGUUUGGUUGGUAAGUUAAAAUUACUGACUCACCAUUGCUCAGAUUCACCAAGUCAAAUAUGAUUUUUCUAUCAAUUGAUGAACUUCUAAGCCUAUUAUAAUUAUCAAUAAUUAAAUUGGUUCCUGCACAUUCACCUGGCAAAAUACACCAGUUGAUGUCAUUUUGCUGCAUUAGACAUAAUAUAAAGCAAACUCCCUCCCACAUAGAUGUUGGACUGGAUGUUCAACCAUCUCCAAUUCCAACAUGUUUAACAGUGAUCCUGAAAUUAAUAAAUACAUCCCUCUUCUUUUGGUUCUCACUAUCACUAUGAGAGAAAAACAAGAAAAGUGCACCAGCCAAAAGUGGUGCAUUCUUAAAGUAACAUAAUUACAUAAAUAAUAGAGGAUAUCUAAUCAAAUAAAGUUAACACAACCAUCCAUUUCCAUUCACAUGCAUUGCACAUGCCCAACACUAGUAGGAAUAAUAUCAACCCAAAAUAAAUAAAUAAUAUAUAUAUAUAUAUAUAAUCACGCACACACACACAUAAUAGAUAGAUAGAUAGAUAUAUUUCCAUUCUGACAGAAUAAGCCAUAUGUUCCGCAAUGCAAAGUAACUUGCAUAAAGUUCCUAUAGUAAGUAGAUCUAACUUUGCUUUUCAACAGCUUUAUUAUAUGUUUGUAGAAAUUGUGCACCAUGAUUUCCACAUUGUGCAAUUUUUUUUAAGUUACAUGUUUCUGUGGCAACUCCACAGAAGUGUAACUGGCUGAUGAUCAAGUACCAAAUAUGUAGUCUAUCUUUAAGCUCCCUGAGUUUGCUGCAUGGGAAUGAUGUUGGCAAACAAAUUGAUUAGUAUUCUUUUGCUUUCAGUUGGUUAACAGAAUUCGCAUUGCAAGAUAAUAGCAGUUUAACCAAACAUAAGGCAAUGCACUGUCAUCCUCGUGUAUUUUAGAGUGCCGUGGUAUUAGAUAGAAUUACUAACCUUCUCCAAUUCCUUGAUUCCCCCAGAGUAAUCAUGUUUCUCUAGCAAUGCAAGCCCCAACAUAUAGUGUGCCUGUGGAUGCCAUGAAAGAAAUCCACUCAGCCAUGGAAAUGACAAAUUCCAUAUUAUCAGGGUACAACAGAACAAUAUUAUAGCAUGCAAGCCCCAACGUAAGUGCGUAUAUGGAUGCCAUGAAAGAAAUCGACUCAGUCAUCGAAACAACAGAUACCAUAUUAACUAGAAUACUAGAUAGAUGCAUACCACAAUUACAGUGAAAAGAAUUCUAUUAACAUACAGGUUAUGAGAAUAAUAUUUUUGGCAAGCUGCAACGUGUCAGGGUACAAUAGAACCAUAACACAGCAUGCACAUAGGAAAAAGCCGAUAAACAAUUGAGGCAUCUAGCAAUGUCUUCCAGUACAAUGUUACUGCUUCAAUAGAAUCAUAAAAAGGGCCCUUACCCUAGGAAACAGAUAUCACAAAAUUCUAACCAGUAAAAUUAUAACCAGGAACAGGAUUAUUUGCAACUCCCAAUAGCAGAACAUAAAAGAGAACCAGAGUUGGAUGCUUAAGUAGCAUAGUGCUGCUUACUGAGAAUAAAGAAAAUGCAAUAGAACUACUGAAAACAACUUUUCAAGGUCAGAUAGCACUUACUCAUUGAAAGAUCAACUGCUAUUAAGGGAAUCGUUAUUGUUUUAAAAUCUUCUUGAGAUUAAUCUAACUCAUAAGAACGAUUCCUUGCAGUGAAAUGCAUAGUGGAACCAUGAAAACCUUUUCCUAAGACACAAAUGAACUGAGGUCUUGAAAAAUGAACUGCUUAUGCCCAAAAUCCAAAUGAACAAUGUUUUGUUUAGUUUCUCUAUAGUGAAGCAAUAUCUCCCAUAGUCCCCCUAUUUUUACCCACAUUUCAUAUGGUCCUAAAGAUUGCCAGAACCCUUGAAUCCUACUAAAUAGAUUGUUAAAGUCUCUUCCAAUGCCAACAAUACUAUAUGUGAUUUCUCCAUCUCACUCUACAAGCAAGAGAGCCUUGGCACCAUGGUAAAGUUGCUCCAUUGUGAUCUACAUGUCGCAUGUUCAAAACACAAAAAAGGCCUCUCAACACAUGGUUGGAGAGGCUGCUGACAUCUAACCCUCCCCAAACCCUGCAAUGGCUCCUGUAUAUUAGGCUACCCUUUUACUCUGCUAUAUAGGCAAAUCCCCAUCCAAAACUUUCAUAAAAGUAAUCUAUCCAAAUUUUCUUACACCUUCAACCUUUAAGCAUCCAAUGUGGUUGAAGCCUCCUUUUUCUUUUGCAGACUCAUAAGAUAUAUUCUGCCUACAAGCUUCUCAAAGUCAUAUUAACACUCAUAAUUUCUGACAUCUAUAAAGCAAGAGUUCAUUAAUUUCCUCUUGGACCUGUGCAUUUUAACCAGUUAACUUCAUUGUACAUAUAUUGCAGCCACAUAUGCUGUCCAUCAUGCAUUUUUAUUCACCUUUUUACUAUGGAAGCUUCUGCAUACAAAGAGUCCAUACAUGUGUACCAUGCAUAUGGUGCACUCAAAAUGUUAGUCAUGCAAUUGAUGCCAAGCACAAUUCGACUCAAAGACCUACUCCUCGAGUUUCAGCCAUUCAAUAGAGGACCUAGAGGUUGUUUGAAACCAACUAAAAUCAGCUAGUUCUACAUAACAGGAUCCUUAUAUGGCUCUCAUCACAAGCACGAGAUAAGAAUGACUCCCUUUAACAAAAACAUGAUGUUGUUUUGAUUAAAUCAGGAAACUCCAAUUAUUAUUCCUUGAACAAAAGAUACAUGCAUGCAAUCACAAUGAAAUACCAACAAGCAACAAGUAAAAAACAUCCACUAGAUGUUUCCAUAGUAGAGUUACUGCAUCAUAAGAAUAAGAUGAUAAAGGAAAGAUGUUUUCACAUGGUUUUGGUUUUGCUUCCAUGGUAAGAGUUUUGUAUUAGUUUCACUUGAGAUGGUAUGGAGAGAGGUGGCAGAGCUUUGCCUAUCUGGGAGGCUCUCACUUUUUCCAAUCCAAGCUCCAAAACAGGUGACGAAGGGGUCAAGUUACUGCCAAAUGGUCUUCAGCAGUUUAAAUCUUGAAGCAGGUUUGGAUUGACAUUUUGAUUUGGCCAAGUGGAAUGUCAUUCAGGUGCACAGAAUCUGGGAAAAGGGUUAACAUUUAGAAUGGUCCUUUUUAUUUAUAAACAAAGAUAAAAAUGAAGAACUACACUUUUCUUCUUAAGGGAGGUGGAUGGCUGCAUUACAACGUUGAACCUUCUCUCUCCCCCUCAAAAUAAAAAAUCAAGUGCCUCUAUGAUUUAAAGUUAUUUUCUUUUCUCUCCUUCCAGAAUGGGUUUUUUCAUCAGCAACGUCCCUAGAGAGGAGCCCUUGGAGAUUUCGAGCAUGCAAGGCAUUGUAUCCUAGAGAUGGGAUUUCCCCAAGCUUGUAUGCAUCAACCAUGGGAAAUCACUCUUUUGAAAAAAGAACUUUAAUUAGUAAACCUUUCCUUGAUCAUCCCUCAUUAUUUCUUUAUCCUACUUUUUUAUUUCUCCACCUAUCCCCAACGCUAAACACAUCAAUGAUUCCCUAGAAUGAGAACCUAGAGCUAGUUCAUUUAGUUUCCUUAACUGGACUGUUAUUGCUUUAGAAUUCAAAAAUGCAUGACAGAACCACCACAAUGGAAUAUGUUACUAACGAAAGCCAAUCCAAUGGCAAGAGUCUAUGUGCAUCCAGUGAAUCAACUGUGCAUGGUGGAUGUGACACUCAGCAUGUCUCAUUGAUAAGUGUAUUAAAGCAUAUUCAUGCAUAAUUUCUCAAAACAACACAGCAGCCAGCUUAGAAAAGUAAGAAAUCGGAGACAUCCCACAUGAAAAAGUCUUAGCCUGCCAGAUUAACAUGAUCAGCAGUGAUUAAAGGCAAAAGCUAGAUUAAAUUACCAUGAGAUGAUACACUGCAGAAACUGCCAAUUAGUAGCAGCAUCAUACUUAGUUGGCCAAAAGGACCAAUAAGACCAAAAAUCCAUUUUUAGAUAAUUUGUACCUAAAAUCUUUGACCACGUUGCUCCAGAACUGCCUAUGCUCAGAGUUCAAGUGACAAUAGAUCAAACAAACACAGAAUUCAAGAAAAACAGGCAAUGACAUGACGAGUAAUCAGCAGACGGAAAGCAACAGUGAAACCACAAAACAAUAAUUGAUAACCAGAAAUUGUCAAAAAAGGUAUGUAGUUCACAGAAUUUCAACAGCAGAUACCAAAAAAUAGGAAAAACAUUGCAAAGAAAGAGAACGGAUGAAGGAGGAAACGAAAGAUGCAAGCUUACCUUCACAGAAUUGCUGUCGAGCUGAAGUGCUCUCCUACAAUCCUCUUCGACUUUUUUCCAUUCACUAUCAAACUCGACAAGUACAACAGCCCAACAUCCAUUGAGACAACCAAUCCAACAAAUCAAGAAAGAACAAGAAGUGAAAACGGUGGCUUAUACAUACUUCCGCUUCCGAUAGCACAAGGCUCGGUUCGUCCAAUAAAUCGCCACAUCCGGGCACAACGUAAUUGCCUGAAAACCCAAUUCAUCCAAUCAAACAUCCAUAUCGAUCACCACAAGGAAGCCGAUUAGAGCAGGAGGACAGCGCCAAGACAUGAACUUCGGACUUGGGGUUAGAGAAAGUUUCUUCUUUUGAUCAAAAACAGAUAGUUUUGAGGGAGAAAAAUCCAUAAUUUUACCAAGACACUUGAUCAAACAGCCAAUGUUGGCUUCAAGAACCACGAGAACGGAAUCAAAAGAACAAAACCGGAUGCAAGAAUAGAUUAAAAGAAAAAAAGAAUCUAUAAGGGUAAACGAAAUCGUUUUUCGCCUUCAAAUAAAUGGAAACCGGAAACGAUACCUCGGUGUAGGCGUCGAUGGCGGCCCCCAGGCGUUCCUUCUUGAAGUAGCUGUUCCCAUCUUGCUUCAGUUGCUCCGCCUGCUUUGCGACGCUCGCCGGCACCGGCAGCGGAGCCAUCGCCGCCCUCCCCUUCGCCGCUCCUCUCUCUCUCUCCCCUCUUCUCUUCCUUCUCUCUCUAAUCGAAGGGAACAAGAACGGAUCGUUGUCCAUUUUAUAGUCUCGUUUGGAUUUCGAUCCCGCCCCCUUUUCCUCCUCGAAUGCAGAAACUUCCCGAGUCCUCGUGGCGGAAAGCCAAGCGUAUGGUAACGAUUGGUAAACAAAUAGAGAGAGGCUAGGGACGAAAGUGUGAAAUGUUAGACCGUUUAAUUUCCUGGAGGACUCGAUUGGAAUUAUCUUUUUAAUUACAACUAGAACCUCGUCUAUUUUUUAUAUUUGUAAAUUCUACCUCUUCGCAUUUUUUCUCUCUCCAAGGGUUUGUUAUUAAUGAAAAAAUAGGAUCCGAUUUGGAAAAUAUUUUAUAUUUCAGCAAUGAUUAUUUACGGACAGAGGACGGGGACAGCCAAGUAUUCCAUUUGAGUCCACAGAAACACUAAAUAUUAACGCAAAGUCCACCUAUUUUUUAAUGUUCGUUUAUUGUACCCCAAAGAAAAAAAAAAAUAAAAAAUGGAGAGAUGUUUACGCCACUGGAGCGAGGGGAUGAAGGCAAUGAGAAAGAGGAAACAGACAUGGUAGAAGUGGGGCACCCUCCCCUAUCUAGAGGCUUCACUUGUCAUAAAUAAGGUAGACAUGGUUUGUUGCUGAUGUUUUAUAACUUGAAAAAAAAAAUAAACAAGUCAAUAAUGUGCAAGCAACAACCACAAAAAUAUAACAUAAACUAACCCUUGCCUCUCUCAUUAUUCUGAUUUGACGUGAAUCCAAGGACCAUAAUCAGAGGGAUCUUUGCGAGUCACAAUAUGUACAUGAGAUUUUUUGCUUAUGUAUUUAUGCAUGUCUAAUAAUUUCUCCUAGCUUGCAUUGUCAUAUUAAUUAAAAAAAUAAAAUAUAUACUAUCAUGAUAUAAUAUAUACAUUGUUAAAUAUAUUAAUUUUUUUAAAAUAUUUUAAAAUUUAAAAUUUCGUAAAUGAUCAAAAUAUUCAUCUCAACUGCUAUGCUUAUGUUAAUAUGUGCGCUAUAAAAUUGACUUUAUCUUUUUUCAGAAUCAUUCAAACAAAAAUCAUACAUGAUGUAUUUUUGCUAAAUCAAAGAAUAUAUAUAAUAUGAUUGACACGGUAGUAGAUAUAGAGGGCAAAUUGUUGGCAACAUAAAACUAAAAGUUUCAAAAUAAUAUUAAAAAAUUUUGGAGGCAUAAUAUAUAUGUACACACAUACGUGUGUGUAUAUAUAAUUUUUUAAUAUCAUCGAUCUAAUAAAAAAAUAAAUAAAUAAUCAAGACUAUCAAUAGAAAUGUGGAGGCAUUAGUCACACAAUAAAUCUCUCGUUAUUUUUUUGUUGGCUUCAGUGCUAGAGAUUAUUAUAAUAAUAAUAAAUAUAUAUGUAUAUAAAAUUAAAGAUAAAUCUUUACUUUUUAACUUCAUGGUUAUUGUAGAUGAAUAAGAAUGAUAUAAAAAAUUACAAAAAAUAUCUCAAAAAUAUUAGAUAAAACACACACAUCACUGAAUAAAGUUACAUGGCUACCCUUUUAUUUUCUUAUUAUUUUCAAUAAAAUUACUUUUUAUUAUAUAAUCAUCCUGUGGUAGGUCUUAAUGCAACAUUAACCUAUCUUUAUUGUUCAAUUUGCCAACAUAAGCAAUUAUCCACAAAUCAAGACCGCUCCCAAGGACUAUGAGCAAUCACCAAUUCAAUCUUGAAUUGCAUCUAAUUUGCUCCAAAAGCAUGCACCAAUCAUGCCCAAAAAAAAAAAACAAAAAAAUAAAAUCAUGCCACAAAAUGCUUGCCACGUGCCAUCCACAUGCCCAUCCAAAUGGGAUGGGAAUCGUGGAGGGAUUGAUAGGUGUGCCACCUCCGUUUGGCGGGGACAUGGAAGUCAUUUCCGAUAGUUCAAGGCUACGAUUUUGAGGCCGGUAAGAUGACCGCACAUCGCCCGACGCCACCAGGACCAAGUAAAAGCCUGAAAACGAAAAAGAAGAACGAAUGAGAACCCUCCCGACCAAAUAAAAACCCACAAAACCCUCCAUAUCGCGCUACCUUCCCUCCUUCCAUUUUCCCCUCUCUCUCUGUAGUUUGCUUCUUUACUUCUUCCUCUCAUCGAGCUGGGAUUUGAACCCUUUCGGCCGAAAACGCUCUCGGAAACCCUAAUCUCUCGACAGAGAUUGGGAGCCCUAAUUUAUUGCUCUCUCGCUCUCUGAAGUCUAAUUGGUGUUCUGCGAUUCCAGGGCGAAAUCCCUGCUCGCUUCCGCCAUUGAAGCUCGCAAGGUCCACCGGCCUGGUCUACUAUCGCGUGGGAAAUGGAGGGGGCUGCGGGGACGUACAAUUCUCGUACGGCAGAGGAGGUCUUCCGGGAUUUUAGAGGCCGGCGAGCUGGAAUGAUCAAAGCUCUCACCACCGGUCUCUUCCUUUCUUCUCUCUCAUACACUCUCCCCUUUUCCCACUCUUGAGCUCGAAUUUUUGAAGCUUUUGAGGCUUUUUUUUUUUCCAUUUUUGGUUUGUUUGUGUUGUGGCUGGUUUCUGAAAAAAAUGUUUUUUAUGUCUUUGUUGCUGGUGUUGCAGAGGUUGACAAGUUCUACCAGCUAUGUGAUCCCGGUGAGUCAUUCCCUUUUUUUUUUUUUGGUUCGAUCCGUUGGUGUUAGGGUUCCGCCAUUUAUGGUUUUGUUGUUCGAUUAGGUCCGGUGGUGGUAUUAGAACAUUUUCACCUCCUUUAACAGGUCUUCUUUUGAUUUCUUUGUUUUCUCAGAUGAUCUGACGCUGAAAGAUCAAAUUUUGUUGUUUCGGCCCCUUUAGAUGUUACGUCAUAUUGUGAAAGCUAUGGAUAAUAUUUCAUGUGUUUCGUCCAAUCAAAUGUAGCUGUUUGGGACUGAAAUAUUUUUUCCCUUUCUCAGUCUUUAUACUUAAUGCCUUUGCAUUUCCGGAGAUCAUGGAUGGAGUUUUGCGUGGUAAAGAAGGUGCUUUAAGACAAUUCUUUAUAUUGUGUAUAGGGAUUGUUGGUUAUGGUAUAUGAUAUUUGAUUAAAAGGCCUCUCUUGUGAUUGAUAACCGUAUAACUUCCACUGUACAAGAUUUAGAAGUAGGCAGGUCAUAAUUUGUUCAUCCAAUUUUUGUGUAAUGACCGUUUUAAAAAAAACAUUAUCUCUGCUGCUUACCGAGUAGCAAUUCUUUCAGUUACUUCAAUGGCUACUUAAUGCAUUUUUCUGUAAUUACUAUUUGUGCAAUGCAAUCGACUACAUAUUUCUCCACAGAUUAUUGAAUGCUAUGUGAUUUAUGUAACUGGAGAAUCCUUUACUCUAUCAGCAGUUUGAGUCUUACAUGCUGAGGAUAUUUCAUACUGAACAUUUUAUUGUAUUGGCAGAAAAGGAGAACUUGUGUCUUUAUGGACUUCCCAAUGAGACCUGGGAAGUAAAUUUGCCUGCCGAGGAAGUUCCUCCAGAGCUUCCUGAGCCAGCAUUAGGAAUUAAUUUUGCCAGGGAUGGGAUGGAUGAAAAGGAUUGGCUGUCACUAGUUGCAGUUCACAGUGAUGCGUGGUUGUUGGCUGUUGCAUUCUAUUUUGGGGCUCGCUUUGGGUUUGACAAGGAGGCCAGGUAAAAUUUUCUUUGGAAUCGAGACUAUGACAGUACAGAAAAAUUGAUGGCUUAGUGAUACUUGGUGCUCUUCCUUGUGCUUAAGAGCAGGACCUCUUAUGUAGUUACCUUUUCUGUUAUCGAUGCAAUUAUGAUCAUCAUUCAAAUACUUUUCCACCUUGAAAAGUAUAUCAUUAUGCAACUUCUCUUUAUUUCUAUUUAUCAUCAGCAACUGAUUUAUAUAUGUAAAGACAAUAAUGUAAGGUGCUUUCGUUAUUCAUGACAUUGAGAACUUAUGGAUUUGUCAGGCAUGUGGUUAUGCUGUUAGUGCUUUCUUUUGUUCAUGGAUUGAUGGUUGAAAGAAUUGCAUCUCUUCACACAAUUCUGAUCUAUGUUCUUGAUUAGUGAUUUUGGACUUUGGUCAUCCUUUUAAAGGUUAUAAGGUGUCAUGCAUGUUUUAAUCAAAACAAAGUGCAAUGCAUGAAAAGUUGCAUAACACAGCAUUUGGCACAUAUAUGUGGCUUGACAUACUAUAACCUAUUAAACAUUUGAAAAUGGUAUAUAUGUACUAUUACAUGAUAAUAUUAUGUAUUUUUGUCCAUCAGCAGUAUCUUUUCUUAGCUGAUUGAGAAGGUAUAAGGUAGCACAAUUGAUUUCAUGCAAGUAUUUUUCUACUUAUUUGUACUGAUAUCGUUGGCAAUGUAAAAAGCAAGGUGACAUCUCAUUGCUCUUCUGCAUCUGAUGUAGGCCAUAGCAUGGCAAAAAUUAUAGCUGAGCCUUUCUUUUGAUUUUUCCCCCCUUUCUAAUGCAUUUUUAUAUAUUUGUAUCUACUUACUUCAUCUUGGGUAUCAUAAAACAAUGUGAUGGGAUAUUGAAAUCAAUCAUCCACAUUGUUGAUCAUGAAUGUCCAAAAUUUCAGAUGUUUUGGAGAUUAAAUGGCUGAUGAUUGUUAAGUAAAAAAGAAUUAAGUAAUAAAACUCAAGUUUGUCUGGAAUGGUAGUUCCUAAAAAUCUAGUUCUUUUUUUUUGAUUUUCACUUCAUGUGUUUUAAGAUAUGCAGAACUAGAUGAACAGUGUUGAUCCAAUGACUUGGAUGGCCUACCAUAUGUUAUUGGUACGAAGGAUUCAAGUCCUAGUGGGACACUUGGAUGGGGUACCAUCCCAUGUGUUGGGACAGGACCGUCCCACUAGUGUUCCAGCGCUUCGAUUGGGACGUCCUCUAUCCCAAGUAUUGGGACGGGACAGGACGGCAGUGCAUUCCGUUCCAUGAAAAAAUUGGAACUGCCCUGUCCCACGGGAUUUAAAACCCUGCUUGGUACAGGAUACAUCCAAGUUAUGCAUGGUAACAUUGAAAGUGUCCUGAUUGAUGUAUAUAACAUUAGUUACUUCUGUCAAAUGGUAGGCCAAAGUGAGGUUGGACAAUCAUUUGAACCAAUUAUGUCGGCAGUCCCCACAAUAUACAGUAGAUAACUUUAAAGAUCUGAUGCAUUGACAAUGUUAUCUCACUUAGAAUUCUGGACUUACUAACAAAUUGAUUGCAAGCUUAUUUUAACAACAACUCAAGAAUGUGGGUCUUAUGAAAGUCCUCUUGUAGCUGGUACUUAGCUUAUUAGGUUUUUUCUUUUCAUUUUUACCAUGGCAUGUCAUUUUCCAGGUGCAAUUCUAUGUGUUCACUUCUAUUUUUCGCUUCUAGGAAUUGGAUGUACUGUUACAUUGACCUUUCCCACAUUUCUUGCGAAAUUUUAAACUCUAUCUUAGUCCUUAUUAUCGAAAGGCAGAAAACUUAUGGGGCUGUACUAAUGUGAUUUUUAGUUAUCGAAGAAAAAAAAUUAUGGUGAUCGGUGAGAAUGUAAAGAAGUUAAAAAGGACUGUUCUCCUUGAACAAGUCUGACUUAAUUUCUGCAUGACCCUUGUAAUUCUUGCAUUGCCAAAUGACCUACAAAUUUGUAAUGUUCUGCUUGUAACUAAAGGUUAUUUUUCUCUUUCAUUGAUUCCUUUAUAAGAAUAUGAUUGGAAGUUAUGUUAAAUAAAUUGGAUGAGCAUUAACUGCUCCACAUCAUUGUGGAUUCGUUAAUUCUUAUCAUGACCUCUUUUGUCACAAGAUCUGCUUCUUUGUGCGUGUAUCCUCACAUUACUCUCUGAAAACUGUAUCUUCUUCUUUGGCAAAGUAGAAGCUUAUCCUUGCCUAACAUCAGGUCAAAAAGAGAAUUAUUUAUUAUUUUAUCUGCUUGCUUUUUCAGGCCUGUUGCUUCUUCUGUCUUUCAUCUUUCUCUCCCUAAUCAUUAAGAUCAGAGAAAGUCUUUUGCUUGCCACAAAUGUCAAGUGCUGCUUCAUCUAUAUAGGACAAUCAAUUGGGGCAUAAGCAUGCUAAGUCUUUUUUUCUUCUUUUGAACCUUGUGUUUGUAAUUGCAUUGUAUUGAGUUUCUAUUUGCAUUCUCUCUCUCUCUCUCUCUCUCUCUCUCUNNNNNNNNNNNNNNNNNNNNUGUUUGUUAAUUAGUCAUUGUUAUUGUAGUUUCUUAUUUGUCAUUCUCUCUCUCUCUCUCUCUCUCUCUCUCUCAAGGAGAAUUCUCCUUUCAAUAUUUGACAUAAUAUGACUAUUAAUAAGCUCAUCACCAAGUGUAGAUAGUUUAAUAUUACUGGAAACAAAUGCUUAAGUGUUCUAAUUAGUGAUCUGACAUGUUUGUUGUUUUUUUCUUUCAAACACUUUUUCUUGGUAAUCUACUAGGGUAUUCCAUCAAGAAUGAAGCCUGCCCUUGGAAAUCCUAAUAUGUCCAAGUAAUUUUGUGAAGGUUGUCUUUGAGAUGAAGACCAUACCUGAAAUAAAAAAUGGUUUUUGGAUUUGAAUGUUGCAAAUGUAUUGUGCUCUCAGGUGGGGACCAUGUGCUGAACGAUCCCAUUUUUAUGGGACCUACUCAAAGGAUGAGUAUAAAUUAGGCUGAGGAACUACUCUCUUCUAAGUACACUAAAGAAUGUAAACAGUGCAAUGUUUAUGAAAAGGACAUAUAAUAGGCUUAUUUGUUGAAAAGGCUUGUAUGCUUAUGACUGUAGAGAUUGGUGGAUUUAUGAUCAUACAUGUGAACCCUAAUGGUUCUGUAUUAUCUGCUUAUAAACAAACUCAUCUUUUUUUGGCUUGUGGCUUCUAUUCUGAACUUUACUUUCUUUUCUUCUUUUUUUAUUUAUUGGCUAAACUUUGAAUCAUACGUCAUGGACUGCUUGGUUAUGUGCACAUGCCUGGUGAUUUUUAGUUGCCUUAGCAUAAAGUUAUGAGUUGUGUUGGUCUUUUCAGCUAGUUAUUAUUGGUCUCGUUGCUUGUUCUGAGCAAGUAAGCUUUUAAGAAAUGAGACACAGAAAUCUGUGCCCAAGAACUUGGUAGUUGGAAGUUGUCCUCUUGACAUUAGAUGUAUUUGUGCAUGACUACUUUGUAGAAUAGGAAAUCAUUUAUUUGCCACAACCUACGGUAAGGUUGUUGAUUUGGCACCAAGUCCACAUAUAAGCUAACCUUAGUUAGAUUUUUUGGACCAUAUUUAUCAUUUUUGCCCAUUAUAUUUCAUUUGCCAUCCAAAGUCAUGGCUAAUUAAAUUCUUAAACCUUUUUUUUUUUUGAAAUUUCAUUGUUGGUUUCAGUGUUUAAUUUGAUAUUACAGAUACUUAUGGCAUACUUUUCUUCACUCUGUUGUAAAUGUUUGUCAGGAAGAAAAUUUGUUAUCUUCAUGAUAUGGUUAGUAUAUAAUAACGUAUAGAAUCAGGAAGUUUACUUUAGCACUUUGCUGGGUUUGGAAACAUGACAAGUUUGGCUAGCAUGCAGCCUUUACAGGACAUGUACAGUAAAGACAUCUCCCUUUCUUCUAAGGUCGCUAACAAGAUUUUCUUCUUGUGUACAGUAGAUAGGUCUUCUUUUCUUUCUGUACUGUUUUAUCUUUCUCCUUAUCUGUUAUUCAUGCGGCCUCCAAACUAUAGUUCUCGCAUGAGAAUGCUAUUUUUACUAAUGCUUUGUUCUUUUUAUUGUCUUUAACUGAUUAGAUCAAAUCAUUAUGUAAUGUUGUUAAGCAUGGUAAACAACCAAGUUUCGUUUUUCUCCUUCCAAUAUUAAACUCUCAGUUUUAGCCUAUGCUUCUUUAAGUUUUUGAACUCAAAUAUUAUGGUCCUGUCAUUAUUGAAAUUGUUUUGUGGGUUGCUCGUUUUGCUUAAAAUAAUGAUGGUUGGAUGAAUUUGAUGUGGUUUAUUGAAACAUCUGAAACAAUUUUUCAAUGAUUGGGACAAUUUUGUUUCUUUCACUUGAAGUAACAGAUUACAGAAUGUUUUUAUGAAGCAAAUGUUUCAGGGAAAUUUGUAAACCAUGAUUCUUUCUUUAUUGGUUGCGUAUCUGAGAUACUUAAUCUUGCAUACUUAGUCUGUUAGUUACCAUCCUUAGCAUUUAGUAUGUAUCAGUGUUCAAAAUUGGGAAUGACUUUACUAUAGGUUUUGGUCAAGUGGCAUCGAGAUUUUAAAUUCUGGUUGAUAUUGAUUCAAAAUUGACCCUUGUUUCCUUUAGUUUUGGCUUUCUUGAUUUUGUUUGACCAAAACUGACAGAUUCCAGUCUGGUUUCAGGUGUUUCAGCCAAUUUUACCCAAAAGUUAUGCACAAAUUUUUAAGCAUUAUUGUAAGAUUUAUUAUGUUGUUGGGAUUGUUUAGUUAGUUAUUUAAGUGUAUAGUCUGUAUUGUCAAUUUUGGGCUGUCUUCUUUCUUUCUUGAGUUAAAGAGGGAAUAUUUGCUCAUGGACUGCAAUCGAUGAUCAGUAAUUGCUUGAAUGGAAGCAUGGAUUCUCGCGAAUUCUAGAAAAUUGGAAUCAUUUUAGGAACUUACGUCAAGAAAUCCAAAAGGAAGGUAAUGUUUCGUAGAUUUAAAGGACCUUUAAUUGAGGUUUCUGGGAGAUAAAUUAAGGAGGAGGGGUCUAUUUAGUAGAAAGUGUACCUCAAAUACUCUAUUUUCAGGAUUUGAACUUGGAGUCGUAAGUCUUAACAUGCAUGUAGAUUAUAUGUAUCUGAGUAAUGUUUUAUUAUUAGGUCAUUAUUUAAAUUUUGUUUCUUGGUAUGACGAUGAUCAAUUUAUCAGCUAGUACUAAACUUUGUCCCCAAAUUUUUUUUUUUUCUUUUGGGUUCCUUUAUUUUUUUGUUUUGGGGGAGGGGGGGGGGGGGCUGUUGUUGGAGGUUGUAACCAGACAUCUAUGGGCUCGGAGGUUAGCAGUUGCAUGUUUUCUGCUUAUAGUCUUUUCGAACAUUGAUAAAAAGUGUUUGUGCGAUGUUAUAUUCUUAUAUCAAGUUGUUAAGAGCGACCAUGUGUAACAAAAUUGGUGUUUUGAAGGAAAACUGUUUGAGGCAUACAAGUGUUGAAAAAAAAAAAAGAAAAUCUACUGUUACCCGUGUUUUGACAUGAGUAUGGAGCUGUGGUGAUCCAACCUCAAAUGCUCCAUCACAUUAGCAAAGAUUAAGGAGCUAGCUGUGUUUGGAAAGGAGUUGAUGAAUAAAGCAAGAGGUUCAGGGAGCAAUGCUUGACAUGGAUGGUGAUGGUGCAAGAAAGUUAAUGGACAUGUGUGGGUUCUGUUUACAAAAGUUGAUUUGAAAUGGGAUCGUCUGCAGCACCCAGCUAGGUAAACUUCAGCUACUAUUCAUCUAACCAUUAACAACACAGACGGAAGCAAAGAAAAGUUGAUAUUAAUGUUAUACAUGGGACUUAAGAAGUUAUUGUUCCUGACUGGACUAAUGCAUCAUCUUUUCUUUCGGCUACAAUGGCCCAAUUGAUGAUAGAAACCUUUUAAACAAAUAUCUCUGGUCCUAGGAAUCUAUCUGAUAAAUAUUAAAGUGGAUCUUUAAGUGAGAUCCAAAUUAGUUCAAGGCAUGUAAAGUCAGUGGGGUAUCAAUAAUGAACAUUAUGAAGGAAUGAUCGCACAUCCGAUCGAUCAGAUCAGGGUGCAGCGGAAUUCAAAAAUAUUUCGAUCCGACUUGCGAUUCGAUCAAGAUCAGAUCUCGAUCGUAGUUAGAUCGAUCAUGCAUCUAGAUUAAAGAAAUCAGAAAUUUAAAACAAUUUUAAAUGAGAUUAAUGAUGAUCACAUCAUCAUCUUGCAUGGGUAAAUGAACUCCGCAAUCCGAUGAUCGUAGAUUUGAGGUUCGCUGUUGAGCCGCGAACGUGCUCGAUCUCUACAGGUAUUCACUCGAGCUCGGACUAGGAUGCUCUCUCCAUCUUCGAUCCAUCUACUCCUAGAUGGAUCUACAAGCUUCUGGAUCAGCCUUCAAUCAGAUCUCCGACAGGGUUCCGAUCAAAGCCUGAUUGUAGCUUUCUUGUUCCUUCGCAUAUAUCGGAUGGAACUCGACACCUCGAUACCAUCAGAUGGGCUGCCCAACACCCUUGGACAUGGGAGAGGAUGAGAGAUCAGAGAGAAGAGGGAGAACAUGCGUGGAUAUGAUUGGAGGGCUCUGGGAUUUUUCUUCUAAUGAGAAAAAUUGUCAAACCGUUUGAUUGGGGCUCUUUUAUAGACAUUUGAUUGGAUCAAAUGCCUUAAAGCAAAAGGACUCUGGUAGGCUGCCCGCCCAUCCUGAUUUUUCACCUUAUUUUGUCGCACAAAACCAAAGAGAAAUUCAGAUUGGUGUACACCACGGAUAGGGUAGUUGUCGCCCAACUCAGUCCUUUCAGAUUCGAAUUCAAAUACUUCAAAUUCGAAUCCAAAUUCAAAUUCAAAUUUGAAUUUAGAUGUAACCUCCUCAUUCUUAUCCUUAUCUGCAAGAGAAUGGGGUUUAUCCCCCUUUCUCCCUCCCUUAUCUCCAAGUAGGCGGCACACACAUGGAUCUUAUCCAUGUGGGUGUGCGCCUCUCAUCUAGCCGAAGAAAACACCCAUCAUUUAAUUCUUACAUGGGUGGCUUUCUUUAGGAACUCCAACUCUUGGUGUCCUAAAUGAGCUCGCUUCAAUUUGGUUGAGCUCUAUCUAAUAGAGAACCCAAAUCAAGUAUGAAAAAAUGGGUUUAACCAUGUGUUAGGAUGGUUUUCUUAAAUCCAAAGCUUAGACUUUAAUUAAUCCUAACCCAAUCAGACUACACUUAGUCCAAUUCUAGACCAAAAUCCUUAUUUGUGUGACCCCAUAGGUCCAAUUCUGUUUGGUAGUGAGAUAUAUUGUGAUCUCUAUCAACAUCAUCGAAACUCUUUUCGAAGGAUCAGAACUCUUUCUAAUUCAGCCAAUUAAGAAUUAUUGCUUAUCAAAAUGAUUCUUAAUUAGUCUUAUGAUCCAUCAGUGACACCUAACAGUAUGUAGUGGCAAUCCAUCAGAAUUGAAUAAUGAACUUUUAGGUGCAGUUCGAUUCUUCCGUUGUGAGUCCCGACAAGACGCAGGUCAAGGAUAUAACUCAUCAAAUCCGUUCGUCCGUCAUAUGUCAGAUUCAAUCGACUCGAGUCCAUGUGAAAUCUUAUGAAAAUUUCUUUCCAUCAUUCACCUACCAUGAUCAUGGAUUUUAGGACUCCGUUUCAUAAACUAUAUAGGAUCUCUUCCUAUCUAUCAGGGUCGGCAGAUCCUAUUUUGAUGCACAUCCUAUUCCUACAAUGGAUCUACUAUAGCCAACAUACACCUCAAGGCUCCGAAUGGUUAGGAGAUCGAGUUAUGGUGCAGUCAAACUACAGCAAUCCUACUGUGAACAACCGAGGCACCGCAAGUCAAAGAACUAUUUACACUGUAACUUUGAGCAAGUCACCGACGAGUGGGCAGUCAUCUUAGUGACUUUUCGUGUUAGUCAUGUUUAGUAUCCUUGAUCUCUAUCAAGCACCUACACUUUCGCUUCAGUGUCUCCACACUGUCGAUUCGAGACUUGUCCAUCCACGAAGGAAAGCGAUCUGUGUAUCGAUCUGUCCAGAUCAAUUAUUGUCCUCAUGAUGAUCUAUCGAAUGGGAGUAUUUAGGAAUUAAUCACUAAUGACACGUACCUCAAAUUUUCAACUCUUGAAAAUACGUGUCAUCAUCCGUUAAUUUUUCGAACGAUUUAUGGAUAAUUUAAACACAAUAUGAAUGAAAAAAUAAUCCAGAUUUUAUUUAUUUCAAAAUUACAAUUACAAAAUUAUGUCUCUAGAGUGUGUACGUAUGUCAGUCAAUCUGACUUUUAGGACAUACAUCUAAUAAACUCUCACUUGGUCUAAAGUCUAUUGACCAUGAACUUAAGCCUCAUCUUCUCAAGGUGAGCUUCAGUCUUCUGUUGGCUCAGCGGCUUGGUCAGCGGAUCAGUCAUAUUCUCUGUGGAGUUGACUCUGCAUCUUGACGAAUUUUUUCUCGAGAUAUUUGUGAAUCAGAUGAAAUUGUUGCUCGAUGGGCUUGGACUUCUGGUGAGACCUCAGUUUCUUAGUGAGUGUUAUGGCAUCAUUGUUGUUGUAGCAGAGUGGAAUGGCAUCUGGUGGCAUCACAUCCAGCUCUGCAAUAAAUUUUUUGAACCAGAAUUUUUUCUUAGCAGCCUCCAACGCGGCGAUGUAUUCUGCCUUCAUGGUGGAAUCUGCAAUAAUCAAUUGCUUGAAACUCUUCCAGCUAACUGCACCAUCGUUACACAGAAAUACAAAACAUGAUGUAGACUUUCUAUCAUUAAUAUCAAACAUAAAGUCUGAGUUUGUGUAUCUCUGUACCCGCAAAUCUUUAAAAAUUAAGAAGAGAUCUUUAGUCAUUCUUAAGUAUUUAAGGAUAUUCUUCACAGCAAUCCAAUGCUCCUCAUCUGGAUUCGACUGAUAUCUGCUUGUGAUACUUACAGCAAGAGCAAUAUCAGGUCGAGUACAUAGCAUAGCGUGCAUGAGGCUUCUUAUAGCAGAAGUAUAAGGGAUCUUGCUUAUAAGCUAAAUCUUCUUAGGUGUGUUGGGGCACAUCUUCUUGGAGAGAUGAACUCCAUGACUGAAGGAUAAUAUACCUCUCUUGAAAUUCUCCAUGCUGAACCGCUUCAGCACUUUCUCUAUGUACAGUUGCUGUGAAAGAUCAAGCAUUUUUUUAGAUCUAUCUCUAUAAAUCUUUAUGUCUAGAAUAUAGGAUAUUUCUCCAAGGUCUUUCAUGGAGAACUCUUUGGACAAUCAAAGUUUCAUAGAAGUCAUCAUGAGGAUGUCAUUCUGAAUUAGGAGGAUGUCAUCCACGUACAAUGUGAGGAAUGUGACAGCCCUCCCACUGAUCUUGUUGAACAUGCACGAUUUCUCCUCGUUCUUGAUGAAAUCAAACUUUUUGAUCGCAUCAUUGAAUCGAGUAUUCCAACUCCGAAAUACUUGCUUUAGUCCGUAAAUGGAUCUUUUUAGCUUGCAGAUCUUGUGAUCUCCAUCACUGGAUGUAAAAUUCAAAAGCUGCUCCAUAUAUAUAUCUUCCUCAAGAUAUCCAUUCAGAAAGGUAGUUUUCACAUUCAUUUGCCAAAUCUCAUAAUCAUGAGUUACUGUAAUAGCAAGCAGUGUAUUAAUGAACUUCAGCAUGGCUAUUGACAAAAAGAUAUCUUGAUAGUCAACACCUUCGCGUUGACUAUUAUCUUUAGUCACAAGCUUAGUUUUAAAGGUUUCCACCUUUCCAUCCGAUCCAAUUUCUCUUAAAGAUCUAUUUACACCCAAUAGGAACUAUUCCUUCUGGUGGAUCUACUAAGGUCCAGAUCUGGUUGCUAUGUGUUGAGUCAAUCUCUGACUUCAUCUCUUCCAACCAUUUUUUGGAGUCAAUGUCUGACAUCGUCUCGUCAUAGAUUUAGGAUCAUCAGCAUGGUUCAUAUCACCUAUGAGGAACAUUUUCUCUACAUCCUUUUCCAGUAUAUCCAUGUAUCUUUCAGGAGGACGUGUGAUCCUACUGGAUCUACGAGAUGGAAUGGGUUCCUUAGGUUUUAUGACUCGCCGUUCUUCAGAGACAUUCUUUUCGAGCUAAAUUUUCCUCCCACUAUCUCCAUCUUGAUAAAAUCUUUUUUUAAGAAUUUGGCAUGCUGGUUCACAAUCACAUUAUGAUCCUUCGGGAGGUAAAAAUAGUAUCCUAAAGAUUUUUUCAGGUAUCCUACAAAACGAGCUCUCAUAGACCUAGUCUCUAAUUUAUCCGUCGUUGUCGUUUGACAUUGGUCGGAUAUUUUCAAAUUUUGAGAUAACCAAAAUUCGGCUUCUUACCAUGCGACAUCUCAUAUGGUGUGGUAGGAAUGGAUUUAGAGAGAAUCUUAUUAAUUAAAUAAUUGAUUGUCAUUAGAGUGUGUCCCCAAAGAAAUAAAGGGAAGUCGGUGAAGCUCAUCAUGGAUCGAACUAUAUUUAAUAGGGUCUGAUUUCUCUGUUUUGAAAUCCCGUUGAGCUGAGGCGUUCCAGGUGGAGUCCAUUGAGAGACUAUCAUUUUUUUUGAGAUAACUGAGAAAUUUUUCACUUAGGUAUUUCCCUCGAUCUGAUCGAAGUACCUUAAGUGAUUUCUCAGUUUGCUUCUCUACCUUAAAUCUGAAUUUCUUGAACCUUUCAAAGGCUUCAGAUUUGUGUCUCAUAAGAAACACAUAUCCGUACCGUGAAAAAUCAUCGGUAAAGGUGAAGUAGAGAACCUCCUCUGGCCGGCACAUCAAAUAGGCCGCAUGUAUCACUAUGUACCAGACCUAGUACUUCAGUGGUCUUUUUUUCGUGUCCUACAAAGGGUAGUCUGGUCAUCUUUCUCUGAAGGCAGGACUCAGACCGAAAUCGACUCAUCCGAGAACGAGUCUAAAAGAUCAUUUUUCACCGAUCUGUCAAUUUUUUCUUCUCCGAUAUGAGUUAGCCUAAGGUGCCACAUGUACUUUAGGUUAACUUCAUCUCUGAAUAUUUUAGAUCCAACGUCACUCACUGUUUGCUCGGAUAAAUUAAUUGAUUCAUCUGCAGCAACAUGCAAAUGAUAGAAACUGUUGAUUAAGUGACCAUGUGCAAUCAUUUUAUUUUCAAAAUAAAUAGUACAAUGGUCCUUAUUGAAACUAAUUUCAUAAUCAUUCUGUGCUAAGUAUGAAAUAAAAAUCAAAUUUUUGCUUGUAUUAGGUACACAGUAACAAUCUCUCAGUUCUAGAUAGAAAUCAGACGGUAAUCGAAGAAGAUAGGUCCCUACGACAACAACAGUAAUCUUUGCUCUGUUGCUUACUCAUAGGGUCAUCUCUCCUUGUUUCAACCUUCUACAUUUCUUAAGACCUUGCAUUGAAGUGCACAAGUGUAUACUGGUAGUAGAAGAAAUCGCUAGGUUAGUCUCAAUCACGAGCAAGUCCGACAUACCUUCUAAAGGUGUCUUUUGAACACUUCAUGGUCCCAAUAAACAUUUUUGGUUUAAGACAUAAUCUAGCUUCUUGGAACUCAAAAUGCUUUUCAAGUCCCUUAGCCAAUCCUUAUAGUUGGAACUUGACAAUUGGUUGAUUUUUAAGAUGCAGGCUAGACUAUUAGAAGGAGACAAAAUUCUACAGAGAGGAAAUUUUUAGUUAGACUUUUGUAAUUAAUUUUAGUUUAUUCUAGAGAAUUUAUUUUAGAAACAAACUUAGUUCUCAUUAUUUCUGCGGAGCUCCCACUAUUUCUUUGGAUUCUAACACUCCUCGGGUUAGGAAGCGGAAACUCCUUCGCAAGUUAGGGUUCCUAGUGGGUACUGCGGUCCCACCAAUUGGCACACCACCUCACCUGACAGGUCUUGGUGAAUAUGUCAACCAAUGGGUGGUCAACUCUUGCCCAAUGCUUCUCAAGUAAAUUGCAGCAGCAGAUUUGGUCUCUAAGUUCUGAGAUCUCAUCUGAUAGAUUUUGAUUUCAUUUUUUGGUUAAGUCAGACCCACCAUUGAGCGCGAGUGAAACCGUCAUUGGAUCUUCAUCUGACAGAUCUUAGGUCCAACCCUAUCUUCAUCCUACUACAAAUAAAGUAGUUGCUUCUCCUCUGAUGCAACUGAAUCACUGUAUCCAGUCCAGAACAGUCAACAUGGAAGAGGGCACGGCACUCUAUAAUGGUGGAAGACCCCUCGACUUAAUAUUAUUGAGGAGAUUUUGAUUUAGGUCUCAUCCUUAAUUAAUCAUAACAGUUAUGAUUAAUCUAGUGGCAUGGACUAGCUCGAAUCAUCAAGCAACCUAAUUCAAAACUUAAUCGAUCAAGUUGGUCAGAUAAGUGUGAUCAUUGGGAGGGAUAUAGAUGCUUGUCUUAGACACAAUUUAUGCAUGGCCAGGUAAGCAUGAUCUCAAUUAAAAAUCACAAUCGAGACUUGCCUUAGACAUCAAUUGAUCAAUUAGAAUCGAAUAGGUCAGCCUAGACUCGGGCUUGAACCAUUGAGCCAAAUUAGGUCUUUGAGUUGAUCGAUGAUAUAUGGCUAUUAAUCGAUCUAACCAAUCUACAACUAUUGGAUUAGUCAUGAGCACGCUUGACUUAAUCCUAAUCAAUUUUUGAUUCGGUUUGAUCAAUCGCUCAAAACUAGAUCUUAUUGAGCUAUACAUACCCAAAACCCCAUGUUUUAUGCAGACUUCAGAUCUUAAAUUCUCAAUUUUAGAUCUCUUAGAUUCAUGUCUUAAUUCUUAAUUAAGUGCAUUAUGAACAUGGAUAUAGUUUAGAUGUCGAAAUAAUUUUAGUUCUAAACUACAUUACAUUGUAUCUCAUACCAAAUUUUUGUCCUCAGAAUUGAGUUGACUCACUCUGGAUUUGAGUCGACUCAUCACAGUAAAUCGACUCAACUCUGAGACUUAGUCGACUCACCUGUGACGAACAGAAAUCCUGUAAGCCUCAGUCUGCACAACUGAGUCGACUCAUUUGCCAAUUGAGCCGACUCAUCAGAGUAUCGAGUCGACUCAAACAAAAAUUGAGUUGACUCGACAGGCGUGUCAGCCACAAGUUUCAAUGUUUCGGAUUAUAUGUGCAUCAUUAAAAGUUCUAGUUUAGAUGUGGAAAUAAUUUUCAAUUCUAAACAACUUAAAUGCAACAUAUACAAACAGAUCCUAGGGUUUUUGGAUCUAGGGUUUUGUAGAAAAUUAAGUUUCUUCAUUUCGCAGUUCUUCCUUUCAAUUCAUGCGGCAUCCCUUCCAUCAUAGUCCUCUAUGGCAGGACGGCUUUUACCAUGGACUUUGAGGAGUACUAAGCUACUUAGAAAUGACACUACAUCUACACAUAUCAUAUAUGCAUAAAGGAUAAAGAUAUCAUACAUCUCAUGUAUAAAUAGGAUCAUUAUUACAUGUUUUAAAUUAGAUUUAAUCUAAUUAUUAAAUUUGAUUUUAGAUUUAAUCAUACAUCUUAUGCAACAUAGAUUUAACAUACAUCUCAUGUAUCAAAUAAAAAUCAGAUUAUAAACAUGUAAUUCAGAUCUAAUUACAUCUCAUGCAAAAUAGAUCUAGACAUGAUCCUUUGCAAAAUACACCUCAUGCAACAUAACACUUAUGUUAAGAUUUAUGCACUUAAUUAGGUUUCUGAUUUUUAAUUCUCUAAUCUUAAGUUUCAGAUUUAAUCAUAACCUUUAGAUUCAGCAUAAAAAUCAGUCCUAAUAAGAGCAAAAAAUUCAGAUCUAAUUUAAACACGCUGAUCAUUUUGAAAAGCUGAAAUCUAGAUCUAAUGCAAUUUCAGAUUCAUGUACUAAAUUAGAUCUAAUCGUUUUUAAUUCAAAUCUAAACACAACUCAGAUCUAAUUUGAUUUAGAUCUGAUCUUAAUUUAAGAUGCAUGAUCUGUACAACCUGGCUCUGAUAUCAGUUGAAGGAAUGAUCGCACGUCCGAUCGAUUUGAUUAGGGUACAGUGGAAUUCAAAAAUUUUUCGAUCCGACAUGCGAUCCGAUCAAGAUCAGAUCUCGAUCGUAGCAAGAUCGAUCAUGCAUCUAGAUUAAGAAAAUCAGAAAUUUAAAACAAUUUUAAAUGAGAUUAAUGAUGAUCAUAUCAUCACCUUGUGCGGGUAGAUGAACUCCGCAAACCGAUGAUCGUGGAUUUGAGGUUCGCUGUUAAGCCGUGCACGUGUCCGGCCUCUACAGGUAUCCGUUUGGAUUCGGAUUAGGAUACUCUCUCCGUUUUCGAUCCGUCUACUCUUAGAUGGAUCUGCAAGCUCCUAGAUUAGCCUUCAAUCAGAUCUUCGAUAGGGUUCUGAUCAAGGCCUGAUCGCUGUCUUCUUGUUCCUUCGCGUAUAUCGAUGGAACUCGACACCUCGAUACCACCAGAUGGGCCGCCCAACACCUUUGGACGUGGGAGAGGAUGAGAGAUCAAAGAGAAGAGGGAGAGGAGGCGUGGAUAUGAGAGAAGGGCUUUGGGAUUUUUCUUCUAAUGAGAAAAGUUGUCAAACCAUUUGAUUGGGGCCCUUUUAUAGACAUUUGAUCGGAUCAAAUGCCUUAAAGCAGGACUUUGCUAGGCUGCCGCCUACCCUGAUUUUUCACCUCAUUUUAUUGCACAAAACCAAGG
rnacentral:lncRNA from 1 species